UUUAAGUGCAACCAUAAGUUUUAGCGCCCAACUUUGAUCGUCCGUCUUAUUUGAAAAAUUUUUAUAAUUAAUAUUUUUAUUGUUAUGAGAUGAUAAAACAUGAAUAGUACUCUACUCGUGACUUAUGUUUUAUUUUUUUUAAAAAAAAUUUCAAAAUAAGAUGGGCGGUCAAAGUUGGGCGGGAAAAACUAUGGCUGCACUUAAA
rfam:Oryza sativa (indica cultivar-group) chromosome 7, whole genome shotgun sequence.